GGGCUGCCCUGGGAGCUACCAGAGGGAGAAGGCAGGGCGCAGUGCAAGGCAGAGGAGCAAGGUUCCUGCUGCUCACCAGGUCCUAGCUGUCCCCUUCCUCCCAGGGGAAGACUAACUUCCAGAAAUAUGGGAGAGGGAGACCAUAAACUGCAGAAAUCUGCAUUCUAACAUGCUGGCUCUACCCUGAGGAAAUGCCCUGCAGGUUUUAGCAUGCUGUUAGAACAGCCCUGCUGGAGGGAAGAACAGAUUUCCAUAACUGAUGUUUGUCAGAAGAACCUGGCUUGGAAGCAGCACUUCUUGGGUUAAAAUCUGAAACAUCUUGCUGCUUUGAUACACUUUUGUGCAGGAU